rnacentral:rRNA from 1 species
UAGGGAAUCUUCCACAAUGGACGAAAGUCUGAUGGAGCAACGCCGCGUGAGUGAUGAAGGGUUUCGGCUCGUAAAACUCUGUUGUUGGAGAAGAACAGGUGUGAGAGUAACUGUUCACAUCUUGACGGUAUCCAACCAGAAAGCCACGGCUAACUACGUGCCAGCAGCCGCGGUAAUACGUAGGUGGCAAGCGUUGUCCGGAUUUAUUGGGCGUAAAGCGAGCGCAGGCGGUUUCUUAGGUCUGAUGUGAAAGCCUUCGGCUUAACCGGAGAAGUGCAUCGGAAACCAGGAGACUUGAGUGCAGAAGAGGACAGUGGAACUCCAUGUGUAGCGGUGAAAUGCGUAGAUAUAUGGAAGAACACCAGUGGCGAAGGCGGCUGUCUGGUCUGUAACUGACGCUGAGGCUCGAAAGCAUGGGUAGCGAACAGGAUUAGAUACCCUGGUAGUCCAUGCCGUAAACGAUGAGUGCUAAGUGUUGGAGGG